rnacentral:rRNA from 1 species
AAACCGUUCAGGGGUAAACCUAAGAAACCCAAAAGAUCGAACGGGGAGAUUCAUCGUCAGCGACGCUGGCUUCGCGUCGGUGGGCGAUGUCCCGCGGAGCCUCGCGGCUCGCGCGCGGACACGCUGCCGUGCGUCGAUGUCCGGCGUUCGUCGUCGUGCACUUCUCCCCUAGUAGAACGUCGCGACCCGCUGGGUGUCGGUCUACGGCCCGGGUGCGGUGACUGACGCGUCGCCGGUAAAACGGCACGCGUCAAACCCUCGGUCGCCCGGCCGGCUGCCCGGCGGUACACGCAAGGUAUCAGGCCGCACCUUACUCUACGAGUGCGUCGAGGCCGUCGCAAGCGCGCGCCACGGUACACGGAGGCUAACGGACCUAGUGCCGUCCCCGGUCCUGGCCCGCUGUUGGUCGUACGGUUAACCUUCGACAGGCCUACGAACGUCCCCCGGGAAAUCCGGGGGACCGAUACCGGUCGGCGACGCUACUGCUUUGGGUACUCUUAGGA